AAGACUAUACUUUCAGAGAUUAAUUUUGUAGUGUGCAAUUAAGAAGGGUAUGUCGAAAGUUAUGAUUUUCCUAAACUAUGAUGACUAGUUUCGAUCCUAUUAUAUGAGCGUGAAUCAGAGAAAUGGUCAAUAUCAUGUGCUCUAAUUCAUUGAAGAACGUAUCUUAUUAUAAUAAUGGUGAGGAGAGAAGGAGUAAGAACGGAGUGGU